AAUGGCCAACACAAUAGGUUGCUAAGCCGCGAGGUGGAGCCGAUCCUCAAAGUUGGUCUCAGUUCAGAUUGCAGGCUGCAACCCGCCUGCAUGAAGAUGGAGUUGCUAGUAACCGCAAGGUCAGCUAUACUGCGGUGAAUACGUUCCCGGGGCUU
rnacentral:rRNA from 1 species